GUGUAGUGAUAAUGCUGCUUCGCCAGCCUUUUCUUUGGUGGUUCGCCUCUAGCUCCUCAUCUUCCUGGGCAGUUUUCUUAAGGCUUUUCCCGAGAAAUUGGCAAAGUCCUAUGCGGUGAAAAACAUGGCCGACAUUCUGAAGAGAUACCCACGCCCCCUUUACAUCACAUAACCCAGCAUGCUGUUCGGAUCGGCACGGUUCUGUGAAGACCCUCAGCAGUGACAGUGGAGGACUGGGUCUAUCUGUAUCCAUGUUCUGGUGGACCACCGCAUGUACAGUCUGUGGAGGAAGACCGAUCCCUGUGCCCACCUUUGUUUAACCCCUUUUCACCUCUUCUUCAAGACGUCAGUUGAUGUUUUAAGGCUAGAGGAAUCAUCAACAAUAAAGGGUUGUCCAAUGAAGCCUGUA